rnacentral:rRNA from 1 species
CGCUGAACGGAGAGCAGCUUGCUGAAGGAAGUUCUUGUAUAGCUUAGUGGCGGACGGGUGAGUAACGCGUGAGCAACCUGCCUUUCAGAGGGGGAUAACGUUUGGAAACGAACGCUAAUACCGCAUGAGACCACACUUCCACAUGGGAGAGGGGUCAAAGGAGCAAUCCGCUGAAAGAUGGGCUCGCGUCCGAUUAGAUAGUUGGGGGGGUAACGGCCCACCAAGUCGACGAUCGGUAGCCGGACUGAGAGGUUGAACGGCCACAUUGGGACUGAGACACGGCCCAGACUCCUACGGGAGGCAGCAGUGAGGGAUAUUGGUCAAUGGGGGAAACCCUGAACCAGCAACGCCGCGUGAGGGAAGACGGUUUUCGGAUUGUAAACCUCUGUCCUCUGUGAAGAUAAUGACGGUAGCAGAGGAGGAAGCUCCGGCUAACUACGUGCCAGCAGCCGCGGUAAUACGUAGGGAGCGAGCGUUGUCCGGAUUUACUGGGUGUAAAGGGUGCGUAGGCGGGUAAGCAAGUCAGAAGUGAAAUCCAUGGGCUUAACCCAUGAACUGCUUUUGAAACUGUUUAUCUUGAGUGAAGUAGAGGUAGGCGGAAUUCCCGGUGUAGCGGUGAAAUGCGUAGAGAUCGGGAGGAACACCAGUGGCGAAGGCGGCCUACUGGGCUUUAACUGACGCUGAAGCACGAAAGCGUGGGUAGCAAACAGGAUUAGAUACCCUGGUAGUCCAUGCCGUAAACGAUGAUUACUAGGUGUGGGGGGACUGACCCCCUCCGUGCCGGAGUUAACACAAUAAGUA